rnacentral:rRNA from 1 species
CCUUUACUGACGCUAAAGCUCGAAGGUGCGGGUAUCGAACAGGAUUAGAUACCUGGUAGUCCGCACGGUAAACGAUGGAUGCCCGCUGUUUGCGAUACACUGUGAGCGGCCAAGCGAAAGCGUUAAGCAUCCCACCUGGGGAGUACGCCGGCAACGGUGAAACUCAAAGGAAUUGACGGGGGCCCGCACAAGCGGAGGAACAUGUGGUUUAAUUCGAUGAUACGCGAGGAACCUUACCCGGGCUUGAACUGCCGGCGAACGAUACAGAGAUGUUGAGGCCCUUCGGGGCGCCGGCGGAGGUGCUGCAUGGUUGUCGUCAGCUCGUGCCGUGAGGUGUCGGCUUAAGUGCCAUAACGAGCGCAACCCCUCUCCGUAGUUGCCAUCGGGUGAUGCCGGGCACUCUGCGGACACUGCCACCGUAAGGUGUGAGGAAGGUGGGGAUGACGUCAAAUCAGCACGGCCCUUACGUCCGGGGCUACACACGUGUUACAAUGGGUGGUACAGAGGGCAGGCGUCCGGCAACGUCCGUCUAAUCCCGAAAGCCAUCCUCAGUUCGGACUGGGGUCUGCAACCCGACCCCACGAAGCUGGAUUCGCUAGU